UACGAAGGUGGCAAGCGUUGUUCGGAUUUACUGGGCGUAAAGGGAGCGUAGGUGGUUAGGUAAGCCCUCCGGGAAAUCUUCAGGCUUAACCUGAAAGGUCGGGGGGACUGCCUAGCUAGAGGGCGGGAGAGGAGCGCGGAAUUCCCGGUGUAGCGGUGAAAGUGCGUAGAGAUCGGGAGGAAGGCCGGUGGCGAAGGCGGGUCUCUGGGCAGUAACUGACGCUGAGGAGCGAAAGCGUGGGGAGCGAACAGG
rnacentral:rRNA from 1 species